UACGGAGGGUGCAAGCGUUAUCCGGAUUCACUGGGUUUAAAGGGUGCGUAGGUGGUUAGGUAAGUCCGAUGUGAAAUCUCCAGGCUCAACCUGGAAAUGGCAUUGGAUACUAUCUAGCUUGAGGAGUGGAGGGGGGACUGGAAUUCUCGGUGUAGCAGUGAAAUGCGUAGAUAUCGAGAGGAACACCAGUGGCGAAGGCGAGUCCCUGGACACUUCCUGACACUGAGGCACGAAAGCUAGGGGAGCAAA
rnacentral:rRNA from 1 species